GGAAGUUCUCAGGUGACACACCCCGGAAUCAGGCUCCCUCCUCUCUGGUUCCAGGUGCAUCACCCGAGAACCACA
rfam:Myotis brandtii contig166230, whole genome shotgun sequence.